GCCAGACUUCUACAAUACACCAACUCGUCUUUCGUGCCCCGCCCCGAUUAUCUUCUCCCCAAGACCCAGCAGAGCGCCGCACCGCCACCGCCCGCGGGCCUCACCUGGUGAGAGUGAGAUUUAAGGAAACUUUUUCUCUUAAGCUACCUAUGACUGAGAGCAAUUUGGUAAAAUAUAUACCUUUGUGAAUAAAGAUGAAACAAUUUUUCUCCCGACAUAACCCUCCCAGAAUUUGGAAACUCUUAGAAGUUCCCUGGCACAGAAAAGGCCUGAAUUUGUAAUGCUACCUGCCUGCUAUUUAUUGGCUGUCUGAUUUUGGAAAUGCCUCUUACCAAAUAUGUGAUUGCUUACACCAUAGACCUAACUUUGGGAGCCCAGCUGCAUCACUGCCUUCUGAAAUUGGUCUCUGUUGUUUAAUUGGACUGACCUAUUCUCUAAACCAAGAGACUGAUUCAGUGAGAUGAAGCAAUCUACCAACCCAACUUCUGGAAUGUGAAACUUCUCAUGAAUUUUCAAAGGCGGGACUGAAGGGGUUCAGAACAGGCCUCCCCAAGGUGUGCCACUUUGGCAUGCAAUCGAGAGCUAAAGGCAAUCGAGACCCUGUGGGCUCAAGAGAGACUUUUACCUCUCCCUUAAAGAAUUUAAAUUGGGGGACUUGCCCAUAAUAAGACUUAUUACCAGAAAUAAAUUUUUAUGAUCUAUCUGUAUGGUAUGGCAAACCUCUAGUUACUGAAUAUUUGCUCUUCUUUUCAUCUUGUGAAUUAUCCUCCUCUCCUCUGAAGCCCCAGACUCCUAUCCCAUUCCUUAGCUCAAGAUAGCAUAUGUAUCUCAUUUUACUUUUUUGUUUCUGAACCUCUCAUGUAUGUGGGGUUUCCAUAUAUAUGCAAUUAUAUUUGAUUUU